CCUACGGGCGGCAGCAGUGGGGAAUAUUGGACAAUGGGGGGAACCCUGAUCCAGCCAUGCCGCGUGUGUGAAGAAGGCCCUCGGGUUGUAAAGCACUUUCAGUGAGGAAGAACGCCUGGUGGUUAAUACCCAUCAGGAAAGACAUCACUCACAGAAGAAGCACCGGCUAACUCCGUGCCAGCAGCCGCGGUAAUACGGAGGGUGCGAGCGUUAAUCGGAAUUACUGGGCGUAAAGCGCGCGUAGGUGGCUUGAUAAGCCGGUUGUGAAAGCCCCGGGCUCAACCUGGGAACGGCAUCCGGAACUCUCAAGCUAGAGUGCAGGAGAGGAAGGUAGAAUUCCCGGUGUAGCGGUGAAAUGCGUAGAGAUCGGGAGGAAUACCAGUGGCGAAGGCGGCCUUCUGGACUGACACUGACACUGAGGUGCGAAAGCGUGGGUAGCAAACAGGAUUAGAUACCCGUGUAGUC
rnacentral:rRNA from 1 species